GACAGAGGGUGCAAACGUUGCUCGGAAUCACUGGGCGUAAAGGGCGUGUAGGCGGGACGGUAAGUCGGGGCGUGAAAUCCCUAGGCUCAACCUAGGAACUGCACUCGAAACUACCAUUCUUGAGUGUCGGAGAGGAAAGCGGAAUUCCUGGUGUAGCGGUGAAAUGCGCAGAUAUCAGGAGGAACACCGGUGGCGAAGGCGGGUCUCUGGGCAACACGUGACGCUGGAGGAGCGAAAGCGUGGGGAGCGAACAGG
rnacentral:rRNA from 1 species